GGGUUACCUACCGAUUCUGUUUUUUUCUAGCACACUAUAUUAAUAGGUUUUGUAGAUUUUUUUAAUGUGUUUGAAAAAACCUUUCAAAAAAAAAUUCUUUCAAAAAACAAGAAAAAUAAUCAGAAAUUACUAGUGUAUUAUUUAUUCAACUUGUAUAAUAUUUGUAGUUCAUUUUCCUUUAACUUGAUUUCCCUUUUAUGUCAGUAUUUGACCAUUUUCUCUCUUAAUAUUUCAGCCAUUGUCAUUACAAGAUCAUAGUUUUCUAAUUAUACCAGUCAAGCUUUUGUUUCCCAACUGCAUGUAUUGGGUGGAGGGAACAGUGACUAAUAAGCAAUGUAAUGACGUGUUUACCCAUCAUUGACUAGGUGAGUAUCUAUUUUGUAAGUUGUGUUUGUAGGGGUGAUACAGUCAGAUUCUUAAAUAUAUGCAUGCGGCGUUUGUCCCGGUGAUGGUAAACAAUAAAAUAGGCAACGGUUAUCUUUUCUAAAAAAAAAGAAAUAGUCAACUUUUCUAGGGGUCAACUUUAUUAAUGUAUAUCUCAGUACAAUUAUUAAGUUUUACUUGAUCAUCAUUUUAAAAACGUUUUGAUUAAUCAGUAUUUAAUUUUUAUAUUUAUUACCUUAGGUUUUA